rnacentral:rRNA from 1 species
UACGUAGGGUGCGAGCGUUGUCCGGAAUUAUUGGGCGUAAAGAGCUUGUAGGCGGUUUGUCGCGUCUGCUGUGAAAUCUCAAGGCUCAACCUUGAGCUUGCAGUGGGGUACGGGGCAGACUAGAGUGUGGUAGGGGGAGACUGGAAUUCCUGGUGUAGCGGUGAAAUGCGCAGAUAUCAGGAGGAACGCCGGUGGCGAAGGCGGCUCUCUGGGCCUUACCUGACGCUGGAGGAGCGAAAGCCGUGGGUAGCGAACAGG